UCCAGCAGCUCGGUCCUAUUGAUUCAGCAGUAAACAAAGCCAAAGUGGACCCUCCCUUCAGGGAACCCACCUUCCACCUGGGAAGAGACGCAUUGAUGCGGUGAGAAUAAAUAUGAGAAACUCAGAGCUCUGCAAUCUUGGCCCCAGUGGAGAUGGAUGGAGUUAACUGACGUCUCUGCUUCGGAAGAGGCCUGGAUCUCAUAGCGGGUAUGUUCAAAACUAUUAAAGAGAAUGAUUUUUAUGACUAUAGAUACUCCAUUUGGGGU
ensembl:lncRNA